rnacentral:rRNA from 1 species
CCUUUAAAGAAAGCGUAAUAGCUCACUAGUCGAGUCGGCCUGCGCGGAAGAUGUAACGGGGCUCAAACCACACACCGAAGCUGCGGGUGUCACGUAAGUGACGCGGUAGAGGAGCGUUCUGUAAGCCUGUGAAGGUGAGUUGAGAAGCUUGCUGGAGGUAUCAGAAGUGCGAAUGCUGACAUGAGUAACGACAAUGGGUGUGAAAAACACCCACGCCGAAAGACCAAGGGUUCCUGCGCAACGUUAAUCGACGCAGGGUUAGUCGGUUCCUAAGGCGAGGCUGAAAAGCGUAGUCGAUGGGAAACAGGUUAAUAUUCCUGUACUUCUGGUUACUGCGAUGGAGGGACGGAGAAGGCUAGGCCAGCUUGGCGUUGGUUGUCCAAGUUUAAGGUGGUAGGCUGAAAUCUUAGGUAAAUCCGGGGUUUCAAGGCCGAGAGCUGAUGACGAGUCGUCUUUUAGAUGACGAAGUGGUUGAUGCCAUGCUUCCAAGAAAAGCUUCUAAGCUUCAGGUAACCAGGAACCGUACCCCAAACCGACACAGGUGGUCGGGUAGAGAAUACCAAGGCGCUUGAGAGAACUCGGGUGAAGGAACUAGGCAAAAUGGCACCGUAACUUCGGGAGAAGGUGCGCCGGCUAGGGUGAAGGAUUUACUCCGUAAGCUCUGGCUGGUCGAAGAUACCAGGCCGCUGCGACUGUUUAUUAAAAACACAGCACUCUGCAAACACGAAAGUGGACGUAUAGGGUGUGACGCCUGCCCGGUGCCGGAAGGUUAAUUGAUGGGGUUAGCGCAAGCGAAGCUCUUGAUCGAAGCCCCGGUAAACGGCGGCCGUAACUAUAACGGUCCUAAGGUAGCGAAAUUCCUUGUCGGGUAAGUUCCGACCUGCACGAAUGGCGUAACGAUGGCGGCGCUGUCUCCACCCGAGACUCAGUGAAAUUGAAAUCGCUGUGAAGAUGCAGUGUAUCCGCGGCUAGACGGAAAGACCCCGUGAACCUUUACUGUAGCUUUGCACUGGACUUUGAGCCUGCUUGUGUAGGAUAGGUGGGAGGCUUUGAAGCGUGGACGCCAGUUCGCGUGGAGCCAUCCUUGAAAUACCACCCUGGCAUGCUUGAGGUUCUAACUCUGGUCCGUGAUCCGGAUCGAGGACAGUGUAUGGUGGGCAGUUUGACUGGGGCGGUCUCCUCCUAAAGAGUAACGGAGGAGUACGAAGGUGCGCUCAGACCGGUCGGAAAUCGGUCGCAGAGUAUAAAGGCAAA